rnacentral:rRNA from 1 species
CCUACGUGAGGCAGCAGUGAGGAAUAUUGGUCAAUGGGCGGAAGCCUGAACCAGCCAAGUAGCGUGCAGGAUGACGGCCCUACGGGUUGUAAACUGCUUUUAUACGGGAAUAACGCGCCUUACGUGUAGGGCUUUGCAUGUACCGUAUGAAUAAGGACCGGCUAAUUCCGUGCCAGCAGCCGCGGUAAUACGGAAGGUCCGGGCGUUAUCCGGUUUUAUUGUGUUUAAAGGGAGCGUAGGCCGCAUGUCAAGCGUGCUGUGAAAUGUUCGGGCUCAACCCGGGCCUUGCAGCGCGAACUGGCGUGCUUGAGUCCGCGGAAAGCAGGCGGAAUUCGUCGUGUAGCGGUGAAAUGCUUAGAUAUGACGAAGAACCCCGAUUGCGAAGGCAGCUUGCUGCAGCGGAACUGACGCUGAUGCUCGAAAGCGCGGGGAUCGAACAGGAUUAGAUACCCGAGUAGUC